rnacentral:lncRNA from 1 species
GCAGCUAGUGACAGCUGUAGACGGGAACCUGUGCCUGGGACUUGCAGGGCCAGAGCGGUUGAUGCUGGGCCACACUGCCUCAGCUUGUGCCUGCUUGCUGCUCCUGCCCCACUUCCCCAGCACAGUAAAGUCUGUUGUGUUUGUAUUCGUUUUAGAUGGAGCUGGGGGAAGCAGCGGUGUUGGAUUCUUGUACAUGUCCCUGCCUAAUGUCACAGGCUCCCUUGCCCACCGCCCUUUCUCUGCUCUGUUUUCUCUUCUUUCUCUUUCCGCAUCUCUGUAUCUCUCCUCCUGCUUCUCUCUGAAUUGCUGGCUCUGCCUCUGUCACUUUAUCCUCCCUCCCACUCCCUCCACCCUGUCUCAACACCCUCUGGCUUGCUUUGGAAGAAGAGCCAUUUCCAUGUUCUCUCCAGGUGAGAGCGGCACAUCCUUGGAUAGCUCGGAAGGCACAGACAGCUCGGACGGCACAGACAGGGCACCUCCCACCGGCCAGGUCAUCAAUGAUGUGAAUUACACACAAGUGGUCUUCUCAACCCCUGGAGGACGAAGCAGGGAACCUGCCCUGGAUUAUGAGAACAUGAAGGAAGCCACGGAUUACGUCAAUGUCAAUCCACAAAGCCACAAGCACAGUUUCUGGGCAUUUUCGAACCCUGCUGUCUCCGAGCCGGUGGAAUAUUCUCAAGUGGUUAUAUGAAUUCUAGGGUUCUUAAAAAAUAAGGUACAAUUCUCUAUUGAUUCUUGCAUUUAUUUUGUAUGAGAAUUCCUUUAAAUUAAAAAAACAAAGUAUAGGGGAAAAAUAGGUCUAGGUCCCAACAAGAAGGAUCCAGAUCAGAUGUUAGGAAGAACUUCCAAGUAAAGUUUAAAAACAUUGACAUACAACCAGAGAGAAAGUGGUGAGGUCUUCUAAAAAGUUUUAAUCAGCUCCAGUGAAGUUCUAUUUGGUGAUCUUAAGGUUAAAUGACUUCUUUUUGAGUUCUUUAAUUAUUUGCAAUAAAUAAUUUUCUUAAAGAUUUUAAGUAGAGUUGCAAUACUGGUUCCUCUUCUCCUCUUGCCUAAUCCUGCACUUUGGCCCUUUUAUCAGUGUUGUAUUUUUGCUGAAUAAUCCUGCUUUGCCUUCACUAUUUCAAGUAAUUCACUUAUAAAGCCUACCAUCAAUCAGUCUUUGAGUUUGCUGAUUUUUUUUUAUAAGCAAAAAUGACAAAGAGAAUCCUAGUCAGUAUCAGCUGGUAUCACAAUUGGUUAUUCCAAGGAAAAUCUUUCAAAAUUUAAUACAAUAAAAUUCAAUAUUAAUUCCUGGGGUUUUUUAAACCAAUUAUGAAUAAGAAGGUCCUUCUUGACUUGAUUAAGAAUUGUUUACUCCAAAUCAGCAGAUAACAUGAUAUUUAAGUGUAAGAUCCUAGACACAGUCCCAUUAAAACAGGAACGAAGUAAGACUGUCCACAACCCUGCUGUUGGCUUAUUGUCCAACAUUGCUUGUUUAGAAGUUCUUAUCAGUGCAUUAAACAGCAAGCCGGGCACAGGGGUCCACAUUUAUAAUCCCAGCUAUGCAGAAAGCUGAGGUAGGAGGAUCACUUGGAUCCUAGAGUUUGAGACCAGCCUGGGCAACAUAGUGAGACUCCCAUCUCAAAAACAAAUAAAAAUAAAUAAUCAAGAGCCAUCAUUACUGAAAGGAGGAUAAAUUGUUCACUGCAGAUAUCCUAGCCCUAGAAAGCUACAGGAACUUAAAAUAUUGAUAAUGCAUAGUAAGCAGUGAUUGGAUGCACAUUUUUUCCAAUAGCAAAGUAAGACCAUGACUAAGCAACCGCACCCCAAAAAAUGAAAUCUCAGGAAUACUCUUGGCCAAAUCCAAUCCAGACCCAUGGUGUUCAGGUCAUAGAGAGCUCCACGGCUGUGCCCCAGAGCUGGCUAUAGAUGACAUCUGUGUCCUGGGGCUGUGAGCCGCUGGUGGCCUUCAGCUUCCCAGUCUCCUCCCCCAGGAGGGUCUGUAGUGGUGGCUCUGGUAUGGAUUUCAGGAUCUGGAAAAUUCUCACCACCACCACCACCUUUCACCUACCAUUGUUAAUUCCUUCCUUGAAAGUUUUGCUUAAUGGAGAAAAAGAGAUUCUACUGAUCAGAGAGGCAGAAUGAGGAGUAAACAUCAAUAAUAAUAACGCUGUCUUUGCAGCAAGAAAUUAAAUUCUACUUCCUAUUGAUCUCUUUUAAAAGGCUAAAAAACAUUCAAGAGUGUGCUGAAAAGGUGCAACAAGUUCCAUACGGGCCGCCGAGAGAGACAGUGUAGGGACAUUGCCAUAGCUGCUGCACAUGAGGCGAGGGGACAGCUGGAGCGGACCCAGGGCCAGGCCCGGGGGCCGAGAGGCGAGUGAAAGCAUGAUGAGAACACUUGGCCAUCAGAGAUCAUCAGGGUGCAGUUAGGACGCUUUUGACCUAGUUGGGGGACGGGAAAGAACUGGAGAACAUAUGCAGAACAGCAUGUAAUGGGGGGAUUAACAGCAGGAAAUGACAGGGUUAGAUCUGGGGAAAUGAUGAGGCAGACCUAUUCAGAGAACAUCCCAGACAGAGGUUAUUUCUAACCUUGGUGUAGAAAGGAG